rnacentral:rRNA from 1 species
UACGUAGGCAGCAAGCGUUGUUCGGAGUUACUGGGCGUAAAGGGUGUGUAGGCGGUUGGAUAAGUGUGGUGUGAAAUCUCCCGGCUCAACUGGGAGGGUGCGCUACAAACUGUCUGACUAGAGUGUGGGAUGGGAAAGUGGAAUUCCUGGUGUAGCGGUGAAAUGCGUAGAUAUCAGGAGGAACACCGGUGGCGAAGGCGGAUCUCUGGGCCAUUACUGACGCUGAGGAGCGAAAGCGUGGGGAGCGAACAGG